CUGAUACUCUCCUCACCAAAGCGA
rnacentral:siRNA from 1 species